UGGGGAAUAUUGCACAAUGGGCGAAAGCCUGAUGCAGCGACGCCGCGUGAGGGAUGACGGCCUUCGGGUUGUAAACCUCUUUCAGCAGGGACGAAGCGCAAGUGACGGUACCUGCAGAAGAAGCACCGGCUAACUACGUGCCAGCAGCCGCGGUAAUACGUAGGGUGCAAGCGUUGUCCGGAAUUACUGGGCGUAAAGAGUUCGUAGGCGGUUUGUCGCGUCGUUUGUGAAAACCAGCAGCUCAACUGCUGGCUUGCAGGCGAUACGGGCAGACUUGAGUACUGCAGGGGAGACUGGAAUUCCUGGUGUAGCGGAGAAAUGCGCAGAUAUCAGGAGGAACACCGGUGGCGAAGGCGGGUCUCUGGGCAGUAACUGACGCUGAGGAACGAAAGCGUGGGUAGCGAACAGG
rnacentral:rRNA from 1 species